AUUGAACGCUGGCGGCAGGCCUAACACAUGCAAGUCGAACGGUAACAGGAAGAAGCUUGCUUCUUUGCUGACGAGUGGCGGACGGGUGAGUAAUGUCUGGGAAACUGCCUGAUGGAGGGGGAUAACUACUGGAAACGGUAGCUAAUACCGCAUAACGUCGCAAAACCAAAGAGGGGGACCUUCGGGCCUCUUGCCAUCGGAUGUGCCCAGAUGGGAUUAGCUAGUAGGUGGGGUAACGGCUCACCUAGGCGACGAUCCCUAGCUGGUCUGAGAGGAUGACCAGCCACACUGGAACUGAGACACGGUCCAGACUCCUACGGGAGGCAGCAGUGGGGAAUAUUGCACAAUGGGCGCAAGCCUGAUGCAGCCAUGCCGCGUGUAUGAAGAAGGCCUUCGGGUUGUAAAGUACUUUCAGCGGGGAGGAAGGGAGUAAAGUUAAUACCUUUGCUCAUUGACGUUACCCGCAGAAGAAGCACCGGCUAACCCCGUG
rnacentral:rRNA from 1 species